rnacentral:siRNA from 1 species
UAGAAUGUCCCACAUCGCUUGAGA